GCCUAUGGCCAUGCUACCCUGAACAAACUCACUCCCGUUGGAUCUAAGCAGGGUCGGGCCUGGUUAGUACUUGGGUGGGAGACCACCAAGGAAGACCAGGUGCUGGAGGAG
rnacentral:rRNA from 1 species